AAACAUUGCAGUGACAACUUCAAUAUAAUUACAAACAGUCAAAUCAUAGCAGAUAACAUAUAGCAACUUAUUAUAACGCAAUUACAUAUUUAAAAGGGGUGGGGAAUACAACAACAGAAAAUAUCUCUCCUGCCUGCAGAAUUAGCAAUAUGCAAAUGUACUGGAAUAUGCAAAUUAGCACGUCUUGCUAUUCAGGUAGUGCAUAUCACGGUUGCUAGAUCCUUGCAACCAAUAGGUGGAACUGUACAGGUUCUACAGCCAAAUCCACCUAGUUGAUUGCAAGCAUUAGCAAGACAGGAGAGCACGCUAACAUUUAACCCUAAACAAAAGCAUUACACACAUAUCCUGCACCAACAAUGAACACAUUGUUAC